rnacentral:rRNA from 1 species
UGAGGAAUAUUGGGCAAUGCCCGCAAGGGUGACCCAGCAACGCCGCGUGGAGGAUGACUGUCGUAAGAUUGUAAACUCCUGUUAGAGGGGAAGAAUAGUACCGGUUGGACCGGUAUAUGACUGUACCCUCAGAGAAAGCCCCGGCUAACUACGUGCCAGCAGCCGCGGUAAUACGUAGGGGGCAAGCGUUGUCCGGAUUUACUGGGUGUAAAGGGCGCGCAGGCGGGAUAAAAAGUCAGUGGUGAAAUCCUACAGCUUAACUGUAGAACUGCCUUUGAUACUUUUAUUCUUGAGUUCGGGAGAGAGAGACGGAAUUCCAGGUGUAGUGGUGAAAUACGUAGAUAUCUGGAAGAACACCAGUUGCGAAGGCGGUCUCUUGGUCCGACACUGACGCUGAGGCGCGAAAGCGUGGGGAGCAAAC